UACGGAGGAUGCAAGCGUUAUCCGGAUUCACUGGGUUUAAAGGGUGCGUAGGCGGGUUAGUAAGUCAGUGGUGAAAUCCUCGGGCUUAACUUCAGAGCUGCCAUUGAAUACUAUCAGUCUUGAAUUAGUUUGAGGUUGGCGGAAUAUGUCAUGUAGCGGUGAAAUGCUUAGAUAUGACAUAGAACACCGAUUGCGAAGGCAGCUGACUAAACCUAAAUUGACGCUGAGGCACGAAAGCGUGGGGAUCAAAC
rnacentral:rRNA from 1 species